GACGAACGCUGGCGGCGUGCCUAAUACAUGCAAGUCGAGCGGAUCAAAGGGAGCUUGCUCCCUGAGUUUAGCGGCGGACGGGUGAGUAACACGUGGGCAACCUGCCUAUAAGACUGGGAUAACCUCGGGAAACCGGAGCUAAUACCGGAUAAUUCAUAUCUACUCAUGUAGGUAUGCUGAAAGACGGUUUACGCUGUCACUUAUAGAUGGGCCCGCGGCGCAUUAGCUAGUUGGUGAGGUAACGGCUCACCAAGGCGACGAUGCGCAGCCGACCUGAGAGGGUGAUCGGCCACACUGGGACUGAGACACGGCCCAGACUCCUACGGGAGGCAGCAGUAGGGAAUCUUCCGCAAUGGACGAAAGUCUGACGGAGCAACGCCGCGUGAGUGAUGAAGGUUUUCGGAUCGUAAAACUCUGUUGUUAGGGAAGAACAAGUACUAGAGUAACUGCUAGUACCUUGACGGUACCUAACCAGAAAGCCACGGCUAACUACGUGCCAGCCGCCGCAGUAAUAC
rnacentral:rRNA from 1 species